rnacentral:rRNA from 1 species
UACAGAGGGGGCAAGCGUUAUUCGGAAUUAUUGGGCGUAAAGGGCGCGUAGGCGGCCUUUCAAGUGACGGGUGAAAGCCCUCGGCUUAACCGAGGAACUGCCUGUCAGACUGGAAGGCUUGAGACCGGGAGAGGUGAGUGGAAUUCCCAGUGUAGCGGUGAAAUGCGUAGAUAUCGUAAGGAAGACCAGUGGCGAAGGCGGGUCUCUGGACAGUUCCUGACGCUGAGGCACGAAGGUCAGGGGAGCAAACGGG